CGGUGGAGUAACCUUUUAGGAGCUAGCCGUCGAAGGUGGGACAAAUGAUUGGGGUGAGUCGUAACAAGGUAGCCGUAUCGGAAGGUGCGGCUGGAUCACCUCCUUUCU
rnacentral:rRNA from 1 species